GGGGGUGAUCGGUUUCGACUCUGGUUGUCGAGACGAGUGAAGCGAGCCGUGGUCUCCGAAUCCACGUAAAAGAGUCGGAACAAACAAACAAAUGCCGACGACUACGUCGCACUCGCUGCCUAAACAGUAGCGACGUUCUCCCGUUCCCAGCCCUGCGGAGCGGAUGAGAACGCCAUCAAGCGGGGCUUACCCACCUGGCUGCACCAACCGGCCGAGCGGGGACAUUUUCGUUGGUGACGGCGGUCGUGCAGUGCCGAUGGUGAGCGACCACCGAACCUUCCAUCGGCUGCGCUCGGAGAAGAAUCGUCAAAGCGCUCGAGGACGCGGGUUCGAUUCCCGCCACCUCCACCC
rnacentral:tmRNA from 1 species